GAUGAACGCUGGCGGCGUGCCUAAUACAUGCAAGUCGAGCGAACAGACGAGGAGCUUGCUCCUUUGACGUUAGCGGCGGACGGGUGAGUAACACGUAGGUAACCUACCUAUAAGGCUGGGAUAACUUCGGGAAACCGGAGCUAAUACCGGAUAAUAUUUCGAACCGCAUGGUUCGAUAGUGAAAGAUGGCUUUGCUAUCACUUAUAGAUGGACCUGCGCCGUAUUAGCUAGUUGGUAAGGUAACGGCUUACCAAGGCAACGAUACGUAGCCGACCUGAGAGGGUGAUCGGCCACACUGGAACUGAGACACGGUCCAGACUCCUACGGGAGGCAGCAGUAGGGAAUCUUCCGCAAUGGGCGAAAGCCUGACGGAGCAACGCCGCGUGAGUGAUGAAGGUCUUCGGAUCGUAAAACUCUGUUAUUAGGGAAGAACAAACGUGUAAGUAACUGUGCACGUCCUGACGGUACCUAAUCAGAAAGCCACGGCUAACUACGUG
rnacentral:rRNA from 1 species